rnacentral:lncRNA from 1 species
CUCAGUCCUAAUCUCAAGCACUGGAUGCACUUACGGGGCCAGAUUUUAAAUCUCAGUAUAAGGACUUGCAACAUUGAGGAAAACUUGUUCACUGGGACAGGCCAAUCCAUUCAAUAAAUUCAGGUAAGGUAUUACAAAAGUUAAUUAAACAGGAUAAUAAAUUUAUUUAAAAAUGACUGAUUAUGAGUUAA